GGGCCCGCACAAGCGGUGGAGCAUGUGGUUUAAUUCGAUGAUACGCGAGGAACCUUACCAGGGCUUAAAUGUACGUUGCAUUAGUUAGAGAUAGCUAUUUCUUCGGACUACGUACAAGGUGCUGCAUGGUUGUCGUCAGCUCGUGCCGUGAGGUGUCAGGUUAAGUCCUAUAACGAGCGCAACCCCUGUUGUUAGUUGCCAGCGAGUGAUGUCGGGAACUCUAACAAGACUGCCGGUGCAAACCGUGAGGAAGGUGGGGAUGACGUCAAAUCAUCACGGCCCUUACGUCCUGGGCUACACACGUGCUACAAUGGCCGGUACAGAGAGCAGCCACACCGUGAGGUGGAGCGAAUCUUCAAAGCCGGUCUCAGUUCGGAUCGGAGUCUGCAACUCGACUUCGUGAAGCUGGAAUCGCUAGUAAUCGCGCAU
rnacentral:rRNA from 1 species